CCUACGAGGGGCAGCAGUGAGGAAUAUUGGUCAAUGGACGAGAGUCUGAACCCUCCAAGUAGCGUGAAGGAUGACUGCCCUAUUGGUUGUAAACUUCUUUUAUAUGUGCAUAAAAUGUUCCACGUGUGGGAUUUUGUAUGUACCAUAUGAAUAAGGAUCUGCUAACUCCGUGCCAGCAGCCUCGGUAAUACGGAGGAUCCGCGCGUUAUCCGGAUUUAUUGGGUUUAAAGGGAGCGUAGGUGGAUUGUUAAGUCAGUUGUGAAAGUUUGCGGCUCAACCGUAAAAUUGCAGUUGAAACUGGUAGUCUUGAGUACAGUAGAGGUGGGCGGAAGUCGUGGGGUAGCGGUGAAAUGCUUAGAUAUCACGAAGAACUCCGAUUGCGAAGGCAGUUCACUGGACUGCAACUGACACUGAGGCUCGAAAGUGUGGGUAUCAAACAGGAUUAGAGACCCUAGUAGUC
rnacentral:rRNA from 1 species